rnacentral:rRNA from 1 species
GGAGGUAGUGACAAUAAAUCUCAAUACGAAGCCUUUGGUUUUGUAAUUGAAUUGAGAACAAUGUACAAUCGUUAUCGAUAAACAAUUGGAGGGCAAGUCUGGUGCCAGCAGCCGCGGUAAUUCCAGCUCCAAUAGCGUAUAUUAACGUUGUUGCAGUUAAAAAGCUCGUAGUUGAAGUUUAGAUAAUUUAUUGAAAGUGUUUGUAUUCGUACAUUCUACUUUUAUGUAAGUUAUCGACAUCCAGGUGGGUAUCAUAAUCUCGCAAGGGGUCGUGGUACUAGACUGGUCAUUUACUGUGAGAAAAUUAGAGUGUUUAAAGCGGACUGUUCAGUUUGAAUAGAUUAGCAUGGAAUAAUAAGAUUGGCUUUCAUAGUCGAUUUUUUGGUUUGUUUAUGAAAGCAAGAUUAAUAGGGACAGUUGGGGGUAUUCAUAUUCAAUAGCUAGAGGUGAAAUUCUAUGAUUUAUGGAAGAUGAACAAGUGCGAAAGCA